rnacentral:rRNA from 1 species
GAUGAACGCUGGCGGCGUGCCUAAUACAUGCAAGUCGAGCGAACGGACGAGAAGCUUGCUUCUCUAAUGUUAGCGGCGGACGGGUGAGUAACACGUGGAUAACCUACCUAUAAGACUGGGAUAACUUCGGGAAACCGGAGCUAAUACCGGAUAAUAUUUUGAACCGCAUGGUUCAAAAGUGAAAGACGGUCUUGCUGUCACUUAUAGAUGGAUCCGCGCUGCAUUAGCUAGUUGGUAAGGUAACGGCUUACCAAGGCAACGAUGCAUAGCCGACCUGAGAGGGUGAUCGGCCACACUGGAACUGAGACACGGUCCAGACUCCUACGGGAGGCAGCAGUAGGGAAUCUUCCGCAAUGGGCGAAAGCCUGACGGAGCAACGCCGCGUGAGUGAUGAAGAUCUUCGGAUCGUAAAACUCUGUUAUUAGGGAAGAACAUAUGUGUAAGUAACUGUGCACAUCUUGACGGUACCUAAUCAGAAAGCCACGGCUAACUACGUG